UGCAUACGUCUUGGACUACUCUCUCUCUAUCAUUUCUUAUUUCUUUUCCUCUUCUUUCCUUCUCUCUCUCUAAACCAAACAAAGGAGUUUUUUAGGGGAUUUGAAGGAGAACGCAGCGGAGUUCGCGUUCUUGGCUGUGAGGAAAAUUGUGAGCAAGGAAAAGUGGUGUACUCUCUCAACUCUCCUCUCUCUUUUGUUUUAUUCCUCUUCUCCCUCUCUAUGAACCCUAUGUCGAGGGAGUUUGUGUAAGAGUAGUGUGGAAUUGAGCUCUUCGCUGGAAGUAGGUGCAGAAGCUGAUUUGCUUUGGUGGAAAGUACCACUGGAGGAAGGUUCAUCUUAUUCUCUACUAGGAAUUGAGGAUUGAGGUUCUCGCUUGGAAUUGAUUGCGUAUAAACCUAAUUGAGGGCAAAGCGAACACGUUAGAAAGCUCGGAUCAACGUUCCGACGAGCCUACGGCAAGCUAAUGAGGAAAACCUCAAUUUAACUCAAGUUGUUACGCACAAGGAUUGUGAUUGUUCGUAAAGUACGGGAAGUGGAAUUCCGGCAUUACGAUAACAAGUAAAGGUUUACACGUGAGUGGCGCAACGGCGCGAGAAAAGGACGUAGCUCCGUAGAUAGCGCCCUGCCACAGAGACCAGAGAUAGUAGUACCUGAAGUGGUCUAGCUAAGAGUAUAAAAUGAAAGAUCGAAAUUAUUGUAAAUUGUAUACCAUAGUAGUACUUGUAAAGUGUCAUGUAAAGUAAAACUGAGAUGAAUAUUUAUAAUAGUUUAGUAAUUAUGUUUUUGAUACUUAUGCAA